rnacentral:sRNA from 1 species
GCCAGGCACAGUGGUGUACACCUGUAAUUCCAGCUGCUCAGGAGGCUGAGAUGGGAGGAUCAGGAGUUUAAAGCCAGCCUUAUCAAUGGUGAGGCACUAAGCAACUGAGACCCUGUCUCUA